AACGAACGCUGGCGGCAUGCCUAACACAUGCAAGUCGAACGAGACCUUCGGGUCUAGUGGCGCACGGGUGCGUAACGCGUGGGAACCUGCCUUUAGGUUCGGCAUAACUUCCCGAAAGGGGUGCUAAUACCGGAUAAUGUCUUCGGACCAAAGAUUUAUCGCCUUUGGAUGGGCCCGCGUUGGAUUAGCUAGUUGGUAGGGUAAAAGCCUACCAAGGCGACGAUCCAUAGCUGGUCUGAGAGGAUGAGCAGCCACACUGGGACUGAGACACGGCCCAGACUCCUACGGGAGGCAGCAGUGGGGAAUAUAGGACAAUGGGCGAAAGCCUGAACCAGCAAUGCCGCGUGAGUGAUGAAGGCCUUAGGGUUGUAAAGCUCUUUUACCCGGGAUGAUAAUGACAGUACCGGGAGAAUAAGCACCGGCUAACUCCGUG
rnacentral:rRNA from 1 species